AAUAUUGCACAAUGGGGGAAACCCUGAUGCAGCGACGCCGCGUGAGCGACGAAGGCCCUCGGGUCGUAAAGCUCUUUCCUAAUGGAAGAAACGGCCGGUACCUUUGGAGGAAGCCCGGGCCAACUACGUGACAGCCGUCGCGGUAAUACGUAGGCGGCGAGCGUUAUCCGGAAUUAUUGGGCGUAAAGGGGGCGUAGGCGGCUUUUUAAGUCAGAUGUGAAAGACCAAGGCUUAACCGUGGGGUUGCAAUUGAAACUGGAAGGCUUAAGUAUCGGAGAGGGUAGUGGAAUUCCCAGUGUAGCGGUGAAAUGCGUAGAUAUUGGGAGGAACACCAGUGGCGAAGGCGACUACCUGGACGAAAACUGACGCUGAUGCACGAAAGCUAGGGGAGCAAACA
rnacentral:rRNA from 1 species